rnacentral:lncRNA from 1 species
GACUAGGUUUUCCUUAAUGACCCCUAGGUGACCAGCUUCCGAGAUCAAGUGAGUUGUCUAAUACUAGGGAUAAGGUCGAUAUUAUUUUGGAGCCUUAUGUCUUAAGGGAGAAAAUUUUCAUGUGGCGGCCGCCCAGAGUAGCCGAUGAAUACUUCUUGUUAUAUUAUCUUCACCAAUGAUUUUGGCGUGGGUAUCCUAUUCUCCAUAUUUUAGUCCGAAC